rnacentral:rRNA from 1 species
UGGGGAAUAUUGGGCAAUGGACGAAAGUCUGACCCAGCAACGCCGCGUGGAGGAUGAAGCAUUUCGGUGUGUAAACUCCUUUUAACUAAGAAGAUAAUGACGGUAUUAGUUGAAUAAGCACCGGCUAACUCCGUGCCAGCAGCCGCGGUAAUACGGAGGGUGCAAGCGUUACUCGGAAUCACUGGGCGUAAAGGGUGUGUAGGCUGUUUUGUAAGUCUUAUGUGAAAUUUAUCAGCUUAACUGAUAGACUGCAUAGGAAACUGCAUAACUAGAGUGUGAGAGAGGCAGGUGGAAUUUCUAGUGUAGGGGUAAAAUCCGUAGAUAUUAGAAGGAAUAUCAAUGGCGAAGGCGACCUGCUGGAUCAUAACUGACGCUGAGGCACGAAAGCGUGGGGAGCAAA